GUCUACAGCCAUUUCACCCUGAAUGUUCCUGAUGUCGUCUGAUCUCGGAAGCAGGGUCCGGCCUGGUUAGUACUUGGAUGAGAGAGCCUGGGCAAGCAUUUGUGAUUGCCU
rnacentral:rRNA from 1 species